rnacentral:rRNA from 1 species
GCAAGCCGAGCGGUAUUUGUUCUUCGGAACAGAGAGAGCGGCCCAAGGGUGCGGAACACGUGUGCAACCUGCCUUUAUCUGGGGGAUAGCCUUUCGAAAGGAAGAUUAAUACCCCAUAAUAUAUUGAGUGGCAUCAUUUGAUAUUGAAAACUCCGGUGGAUAGAGAUGAGCACACGCAGGAUUAGAUAGUUGGUGGGGUAACGGCUCACCAAGUCAAUGAUCUUUAGGGGGCCUGAGAGGGUGAUC